rnacentral:lncRNA from 1 species
GUCCUCCUGGGAAGAGUAUAGAAGUGUUUUCAGGGCCUGCAGGGAUGCGACGAGGAAGGCUAAAGCCCACCUAGAGAUGAGGCUUGCAAAAGAGAUAAAGGAUAAUAAGGGUUUUUUUUAAGUAUGUAAACAGUAAAAGGAAGACUGGGGAUAAUGUGGGUCCCCUGCUGAACAAGGGGGUUGUCCUGGUAAUGAGAGAUGCCAAGAAGGUGGUAUACUGAAUGCCUUCUUUGCUUCAGUCUUUGCUUCAAGGACUGCCCCCAGGACUCCUGGACCCUGGAGGGUGGAGAAAGGGUCUGGGAAAUGGACAGCUCCCCUCCAGUUGAUGAGGGAGUGGUUUGGGAGCGUCUGAGUGGGAUCAAUGCACAUAAAUCCAUGGGCCCCAUUGGGAUGCAUCCGCGUGUGCUAAGGGACCUGGCAGAUGUGAUCACCGAACCGCUCUCUAUCAUCUUGGAAAGGUCCUGGAGAACAGGAGAGGUGCCUGAAGACUGGAGGAUAGCCAAUGUCACUCUGGUCUUCAAGAAAGGCAAGAAAGAGGAUCCAGGAAACUACAAGCCAGUCAGUCUCACCUCUGUCCCUGGAAAGGUGUUGGAACAGCUUGUUCCGGAUGCCAUCUCCAAGCAAUUGGAAGAGAAGAAGGUUAUGAGGAGUAGUCAGCAUGGAUUCACCACGGGGAAGUUGUGCUCGACCAACCUCGUUGCCUUCUAUGAUGGCAUCACCAGCUGGGUAGAUGGGCGAAGAGCAGUGGAUGUUAUCUACCUUGACUUUAGCAAGGCUUUUGAUACUGUCUCCCAUGACAUCCUGCUAGCAAAGCUGAGACAAUGUGGGAUAGACGAGUGGACAGUAAGGUGGGUUGAGAACUGGCUGACUGGCCGCGCUCAGAGGGUUUGGUGUCUUGCGAGGGGCUGGGUCUGUGGUGGCUGUGCCCAGAGCCCUGCAGCAGGCUGCAGUGGGCACUGGCCCCCAGCCUGGGUGGAUGGGCUGGGCUGGGCUGUGCUUGGGAGAGGGCAGGGAGUUGGGGAGAGGUGGGCAGGGGCUGGUCUGGUCUGAGAAGCGCCUGGCAGAGGGCAACAGCAGUGUCAGGGAGCGGUGGGAGCAUGCAGGGGAGGGCUCCCA